rnacentral:rRNA from 1 species
UACGUAGGGUGCGAGCGUUGUCCGGAAUUAUUGGGCGUAAAGGGCUCGUAGGCGGUUUGUCGCGUCGGGAGUGAAAACACACAGCUUAACUGUGUACUUGCUUCCGAUACGGGCAGACUAGAGGUAUGCAGGGGAGGGCGGAAUUCCUGGUGUAGCGGUGAAAUGCGCAGAUAUCAGGAGGAACACCGGUGGCGAAGGCGGUUCUCUGGGCAUUACCUGACGCUGAGGAGCGAAAGUGUGGGGAGCGAACAGG